CAGGCCUAACACAUGCAAGUCGAACGAUGAAGCCGCUUCGGUGGUGGAUUAGUGGCGAACGGGUGAGUAACACGUGGGCAAUCUGCCCUUCACUCUGGGACAAGCCCUGGAAACGGGGUCUAAUACCGGAUAAUACUCUGUUCCGCAUGGAACGGCGUUGAAAGCUCCGGCGGUGAAGGAUGAGCCCGCGGCCUAUCAGCUUGUUGGUGGGGUAAUGGCCUACCAAGGCGACGACGGGUAGCCGGCCUGAGAGGGCGACCGGCCACACUGGGACUGAGACACGGCCCAGACUCCUACGGGAGGCAGCAGUGGGGAAUAUUGCACAAUGGGCGAAAGCCUGAUGCAGCGACGCCGCGUGAGGGAUGACGGCCUUCGGGUUGUAAACCUCUUUCAGCAGGGAAGAAGCGCAAGUGACGGUACCUGCAGAAGAAGCGCCGGCUAACUACGUGCCAGCAGCCGCGGUAAUACGUAGGGCGCAAGCGUUGUCCGGAAUUAUUGGGCGUAAAGAGCUCGUAGGCGGCUUGUCACGUCGGAUGUGAAAGCCCGGGGCUUAACCCCGGGUCUGCAUUCGAUACGGGCUAGCUAGAGUGUGGUAGGGGAGAUCGGAAUUCCUGGUGUAGCGGUGAAAUGCGCAGAUAUCAGGAGGAACACCGGUGGCGAAAGCGGAUCUCUGGGCCAUUACUGACGCUGAGGAGCGAAAGCGUGGGGAGCGAACAGGAUUAGAUACCCUGGUAGUCCACGCCGUAAACGUUGGGAACUAGGUGUUGGCGACAUUCCACGUCGUCGUGCCGCAGCUAACGCAUUAAGUUCCCCGCCUGGGGAGUACGGCCGCAAGGCUAAAACUCAA
rnacentral:rRNA from 1 species